rnacentral:rRNA from 1 species
CGGUGGGCACUAGGUGUGGGAGGCAUCGACCCCUUCCGUGCCGCAGCUAACGCAUUAAGUGCCCCGCCUGGGGAGUACGACCGCAAGGUUGAAACUCAAAGGAAUUGACGGGGGCCCGCACAAGCGGUGGAGCAUGUGGUUUAAUUCGAUGCAACGCGAAGAACCUUACCUGGGCUUGACAUGCAUCGGACGGGUGUGGAAACACACUUUCCCUUCGGGGUCGAUGCACAGGUGCUGCAUGGCUGUCGUCAGCUCGUGUCGUGAGAUGUUGGGUUAAGUCCCGCAACGAGCGCAACCCUUGCCCUUAGUUGCCAGCACUUCGGGUGGGCACUCUAGGGGGACUGCCGCCGAUGAGGCGGAGGAAGGUGGGGAUGACGUCAAGUCCUCAUGGUCCUUAUGUCCAGGGCUACACACGUGCUACAAUGGCCGGUACAGUGGGUUGCGAUACCGCGAGGUGGAGCCAAUCCUCAAAGCCGGUCUCAGUUCGGAUUGUAGUCUGCAACUCGACUACAUGAAGCCGGAAUCGCUAGUAAUCG